rnacentral:rRNA from 1 species
CCUACGGGGGGCUGCAGUGGGGAAUCUUAGACAAUGGGGGAAACCCUGAUCUAGCCAUGCCGCGUGAUCGAUGAAGGCCUUAGGGUUGUAAAGAUCUUUCAGUUGGGAAGAUAAUGACGGUACCCACAGAAGAAGCACCGGCUAACUCCGUGCCAGCAGCCGCGGUAAUACGGAGGGGGCUAGCGUUAUUCGGAAUUACUGGGCGUAAAGCGCACGUAGGCGGACUGGAAAGUCAGAGGUGAAAUCCCAGGGCUCAACUUUGGAACUGCCUUUGAAACGCUCAGUCUUGAUAUCGAGAGAGGUGAGUGGAAUUCCGAGUGUAGAGGUGAAAUUCGUAGAUAUUCGGAGGAACACCAGUGGCGAAGGCGGCUCACUGGCUCGAUACUGACGCUGAGGUGCGAAAGCGUGGGGAGCAAACAGGAUUAGAUACCCGGGUAGUC